rnacentral:lncRNA from 1 species
GAACUACGACAAAGAAUUCAGAAGCACCAGUUAGAGUCAGUGUCAGAUUCAGGGCUUCUCGGUCAUUGCUCCAUCCUCUUCAGCCACUGCAAAAGGAGGAAUAAGAAUUGUUUUAAAACACAGCUGCAGCCAAACCAGCACACUCUACAUAAAGCCUCUCCUGAAAUUUCCAAAUCUGAACAAAUUUGCACUUGUGGCCUGGCCUCUGGGCUGCUGACUGAUCCCAGGGUUGCAGUAUGCCCCGCACCAGCAUCAUCUCUCUUGGAAAUCCCCUUCAGCUACAAGAGAGACAGAUGGUCCAGGUCAGUGUUUCCCAACCCGGCUGAACAUAGAAUCUGCAGGAAUGCCAUGCCCCACCCCACUCCUGAGACUUUUAGACUCAGGAGUUUGGGAUGGGGCCACAAAUCUGAAUUUUAACAAUUUGACUCAGUCAAAUCACAGACUGACAUUUUGGAACCACCAGCCCAAGUGACCUUAAAGUGCCCUUCCAGAACUAAGGCUCCGAGGCAGGAGGGUACUUGAGGAGCUGACUGGUCACCCGCCCCUCUCCUCACACCGCACUCUAUCAGGUGUCCCCUUCCUGAGCCUAGCCACCCCACCCUGCCCUCUCUGGCUCCUUCCUGGCUCAGCCUAGGGAUGCACAGCCCCAAACACACUGGCCUAACAUUGGGCCCCACCCCACUGUUCUGCCUCUGCCUGAGCUCCCAUCAUUGAUGACUCUUCUGUGGGUUUGGGUUCCUGCUCCCUCUCAUCUAACCCUUCCAGGCCCAUAUUUUUUUAGGAGGUGAUACUUAUGCACAGUACAAAUCUCCAAAGUUACAAAAGGGGUUAUUGAGAAUUACUCCCUUCCCACCCUAAUGCCCGGGUACCCAGAUCUCACACCCAGAGGUACCCCCAGUCAUGUCUUACCAAAAAAUAUACAAAUGAUAGCUUGCUAUACAUACUGUUUUGCUCUGCUUAUUUUGAGGAAAAUAUAUCUUGAAGAUGUUCCAGAUCCACGCAUAGAGAGUUAUGCAGCUUAAUUCUCCUUCGCAUUAGCAUGGUGUAGUUUUUUCUAACCAUCCUCCACUGGUGAACGUUUAGGCUGUUUCGAACCUUUGGCUAUUACUAACAAUGCCACGGUGAAUAUUCUUGUAUGUGUGUGAUUUCCCACAUGCGUGAGAAUAUCUGUAGAGUAAAAUUCAUAGGAGUAGAAUGGUAGGUCAAAUGGCAUGUUAUGCUUCUUGACGCUGAUUUCCCAUCCUCUCUGAGCCUGGCUUCCAGUCCCUGGUACCCUGGCUAACAGAGCUCAGGGUUCUGCUCAUUUAUGUCCCAAGUCUCUAAGCUGGGUCCCUGAUUUCCUGGGGCUGGCAGCUCCAGGGACAUUUCAAUGGGUCUGACCAGUCCACUCACACUCACCUGCCCAGUGUCCUCCCUUCCAGGCUCCCAUCUCAGCCUCUGAGACUCAGGCUUCCACAUCACAGUAGGUUGUAAAGUUUUUCUUCUCUGCAUGGGCUUGUUCUGCAUACCCCAGGAUUACAAUCCCUGUCUGGGUUUAAUGCUCUUGAGUGCCCUUUCCAGUGCUAAUUGACCUCCUCAGUAGUCACCUCUGUGUACUCAGGUUCUCUUCUGUCUACUUCAACCAAAUCCAACUCUUCACCUAGCCUCUUUUAGCUGGCCUGCCAUAUUGAAAGGAAAGACCUAGCACAAGUCACAGAAUCAGGACCAUCUCCAGAAUAAAGCACAAUUUCGGUGACGUUUGUCUUGGGUC